rnacentral:tRNA from 207 species
GCCGGGAUAGCUCAGUUGGUAGAGCAGAGGACUGAAAAUCCUCGUG